CUGUGUUCUUCUCAUUGAAGUAGUAAGCGGUCUGGCAAGGGGGCAGGGAAGGAGGCGUAUGAGAAAAGCGAGCUGAAGCAUGGAGACAAAAUCUUUCACAAGUUCUUAAAGAGACUGCAGCGCUGUCCCAAACAGUGUGUCAGGUAUGAACGUGGAGGCCAGCCUUUGUUGAUCCGAACCCUGGAGGCUCAGAACGUAGUCCAGUCUUGUGCUCAGUGUGGAGGUCAGAGGUCAUUUGAGCUGCAACUUCUACCUCCGCUGGUUUGUGCCUUGAAGCUGGAAGAUGGUUCUCUGUCCCCCAUUGAGUUCGGGACGGUCUUGGUCUACACCUGUGACAACAACUGCUGGACACACGAUGACCCCAAUCUUGACUUUGUGGAAGAACAGGUGAUCCUACAGGCAGACCCUGAUGACCAUCUGUAUAGAUAACCAGUAACCAGUUAGAAUUGCUCUGUGAUAUGACUAUUAAAAUGUGUUUGUCUCCCUGUCCAUGACAAGUCUGGAUUAUUCUUUUGUGUUGAAAAUAGCUUCUAUACAGUCAUAUGUUUAAAUAAUAAAAAGCCAUUGAUUUGAAACACAAG